rnacentral:rRNA from 1 species
AGAACGAACGCUGGCGGCAGGCUUAACACAUGCAAGUCGAGCGCUGUAGCAAUACAGAGCGGCAGACGGGUGAGUAACGCGUGGGAACAUACCCUCCGGUUCGGAAUAACUCAGGGAAACUUGAGCUAAUACCGAAUACGGUCGAGAGGCGAAAGAUUUAUCGCCGGAGGAUUGGCCCGCGUUCGAUUAGCUAGUUGGUGAGGUAACGGCUCACCAAGGCGACGAUCGAUAGCUGGUCUGAGAGGAUGAUCAGCCACAUUGGGACUGAGACACGGCCCAAACUCCUACGGGAGGCAGCAGUGGGGAAUAUUGGACAAUGGGCGAAAGCCUGAUCCAGCCAUGCCGCGUGAGUGAUGACGGCCUUAGGGUUGUAAAGCUCUUUCGCUAGGGACGAUAAUGACGGUACCUAGACAAGAACGCCCCGGCUAACUUCGUGCCAGCAGCCGC